GUGCUCGCUUCGGCAGCACGUAUGCUAAAGUUGGAACAAUACAGAGAAGAUUAGCAUGGCAAGGAUGCGAGGAUGACACGCAGAAUAAUAGGUACAGAGGUACCAUACAUGC